GACUUGUAGGGGAUUUAAUCCCUCUCAAUCCCCUCCAAACCCUUUCAAAUUUAAAGGAACCAAACAAGGCCUAAAUAGGCUCGAUCAUUCCCAGGAUCUUGAGGUUGCGGUGGGUUUUCCCCAUGAUUUAUGUGGUUGUGGUGAUGGUGGAAGGAAGGGCGUGAGAUCUUGCUUCGACCUCAUCUCCUGGUGCUAAGCAACACUAACUGGAUCCGAGCUUCCAGCGUUGGUUGUGUCCUCUCUUGAUGUGGAGAAGGGCCUAUGUACUAGAUGUGGAUGAUGGAGAUCCCGAGCUUAGAUGACGGUGGUUUUGGCGGAGCUACGUUGCCUACCAUGGUCGGCCGGUCUUCGCCGACAAUCCGACGUAUCCUUUGGCCUAUAAAGGCAGCCAUUCUCUUUCCACCCGACCAAGAUGCCUCUGUUGGAAAUAUGCCCAAAAGGCAAUAAUAAAUUAGUUAUUAUUAUAUUUCCUUAUUCAUGAUAACCAUUUAU
rnacentral:lncRNA from 1 species